GAAAAAGAGAGAGUGGGAGUUUUUAGUAGGUAAUCUCCGUCACCAGGUUGUCAUUCAGUCUUUCAACACGCUUUACCUUUCAGAGAGAGAGAGAGAGAGAGAGAGAGAGAGAGAGAGAGAGAGAGAGAGAGAGAGAGAGAGAGAGAGAGAGAGAGAGAGAGAGAGAGAGAGCACUAAUACAAACGCUUUCUAAUCAAUCAAUAUAUUUUUCUAUGCAUUCGCUAACACAUUACUCACUAGAUGCCAUAUUUUACGAUGCUAAAAAGAAGUACACAAGAAAAGAGAUAAAAAAUAUAUUUUCUGUAAUGUAUUGAGUGUAAUGAUUAAGUUAAGAAUGUUUGUGAUGGAUUAAAUAUAUGGUUUGUAAA